GACAGAGGGGGCAAGCGUUGCUCGGAAUUACUGGGCGUAAAGCGCGCGCAGGUGGGUGCGUAAGUCGGAGGUGAAAGCGCAGGGCUCAACCCUGCGACGCCCUUCGAGACUGCGUGUCUAGGGACCGGUAGAGGUGAGUGGAAUUCCCGGUGUAGCGGUGGAAUGCGUAGAUAUCGGGAAGAACACCGGAGGCGAAGGCGGCUCACUGGGCCGGAUCCGACACUGAGGCGCGAAAGCGUGGGGAGCAAACAGG
rnacentral:rRNA from 1 species